rnacentral:rRNA from 1 species
GAUGAACGCUGGCGGCGUGCCUAAUACAUGCAAGUCGAGCGAACAGAUGAGGAGCUUGCUCCUCUGACGUUAGCGGCGGACGGGUGAGUAACACGUGGAUAACCUACCUAUAAGACUGGGAUAACUUCGGGAAACCGGAGCUCAUACCGGAUAAUAUAUUGAACCGCAAGGUUCAAUAGUGAAAGACGGUUUUGCUGUCACUUAUAGAUGGAUCCGCGCCGCAUUAGCUAGUUGGUAAGGUAACGGCUUACCAAGGCGACGAUGCGUAGCCGACCUGAGAGGGUGAUCGGCCACACUGGAACUGAGACACGGUCCAGACUCCUACGGGAGGCAGCAGUAGGGAAUCUUCCGCAAUGGGCGAAAGCCUGACGGAGCAACGCCGCGUGAGUGAUGAAGGUCUUCGGAUCGUAAAACUCUGUUAUUAGGGAAGAACAAAUGUGUAAGUAACUAUGCACGUCUUGACGGUACCUAAUCAGAAAGCCACGGCUAACUACGUG